GGAUGGGGACGCGUCGGAUUAGCUUGACGGCGGGGCGACGGCCCACCGUGGCGACGAUCCGCAGGGGUUCUGAGAGGAAGGUCCCCCACACUGGCACUGAGACACGGGCCAGACUCCUACGGGAGGCAGCAGUGAGGAAUAUUGGUCAAUGGCCGAGAGGCUGAACCAGCCAAGUAGCGUGCAGGAUGACGGCCCUACGGGUUGUAAACUGCUUUUGCGGGAGGAUAAAAGGACGCCACGUGUGGCGUUUUGCAGGUAUCCCGUGAAUAAGGACCGGCUAAUUCCGUGCCAGCAGCCGCGGUAAUACGGAAGGUCCGGGCGUUAUCCGGAUUUAUUGGGUUUAAAGGGAGCGCAGGCGGGCUUUUAAGCGUGACGUGAAAUGUGGAUGCUCAACAUCCGAGCUGCGUCGCGAACUGGAGGCCUUGAGUGAGUACGACGUGGACGGAAUUCGUGGUGUAGCGGUGAAAUGCUUAGAUAUCACGAAGAACCCCGAUUGGCGAAGGCAGUCCACGAGUCCUUUACUGACGCUAAAGCUCGAAAGUGCGGGUAUCGAACAGGAUUAGAUACCCUGGUAGUCCGCACGGUAAACGAUGGAUGCCCGCUGUUUGCGACAUACUGUAAGCGGCCAAGAGAAAUCGUUAAGCAUCCCACCUGGGGAGUACGCCGGCAACGGUGAAACUCAAAGGAAUUGACGGGGGCCCGCACAAGCGGAGGAACAUGUGGUUUAAUUCGAUGAUACGCGAGGAACCUUACCCGGGCUUGAACUGCAGCGGAAGGAUACAGAGAUGUUGACGCCCUUCGGGGCCGCUGUGGAGGUGCUGCAUGGUUGUCGUCAGCUCGUGCCGUGAGGUGUCGGCUUAAGUGCCAUAACGAGCGCAACCCCUUUCGUCAGUUGCCAUCAGGUCAAGCUGGGCACUCUGGCGACACUGCCACCGUAAGGUGUGAGGAAGGUGGGGAUGACGUCAAAUCAGCACGGCCCUUACGUCCGGGGCUACACACGUGUUACAAUGGGUGGUACAGAGAGUCGGCCGCUGGCAAUGGCGGUCCAAUCAUCAAAGCCAUCCUCAGUUCGGAUUGGGGUCUGCAACCCGACCCCAUGAAGCUGGAUUCGCUAGUAAUCGCGCAUCAGCCAUGGCGCGGUGAAUACGAAACCGGGCCUUGUACUCACCGCCCGUCAAG
rnacentral:rRNA from 1 species